AACGAACGCUGGCGGCAUGCCUAACACAUGCAAGUCGAACGAUUGCCUUCGGGUGAUAGUGGCGCACGGGUGCGUAACGCGUGGGAAUCUGCCCUUAGGUUCGGAAUAACAGCUGGAAACGGCUGCUAAUACCGGAUGAUAUCGCGAGAUCAAAGAUUUAUCGCCUGAGGAUGAGCCCGCGUUGGAUUAGGUAGUUGGUGGGGUAAAGGCCUACCAAGCCGACGAUCCAUAGCUGAUCUGAGAGGAUGAUCAGCCACACUGGGACUGAGACACGGCCCAGACUCCUACGGGAGGCAGCAGUGGGGAAUAUUGGACAAUGGGCGCAAGCCUGAUCCAGCAAUGCCGCGUGAGUGAUGAAGGCCCUAGGGUUGUAAAGCUCUUUUACCCGGGAAGAUAAUGACUGUACCGGGAGAAUAAGCCCCGGCUAACUCCGUG
rnacentral:rRNA from 1 species